rnacentral:rRNA from 1 species
AUACGUAUGUCGCAAGCGUUAUCCGGAUUUAUUGGGCGUAAAGCGCGUCUAGGCGGUUUAGUAAGUCUGAUGUGAAAAUGCGGGGCUCAACCCCGUAUUGCGUUGGAAACUGCUAAACUAGAGUACUGGAGAGGUAGGCGGAACUACAAGUGUAGAGGGGAAAUUCGUAGAUAUUUGUAGGAAUGCCGAUGGGGAAGCCAGCCUACUGGACAGAUACUGACGCUAAAGUGCGAAAGCGUGGGUAGCAAACAGGAUUAGAUACCCUGGUAGUCCACGCCGUAAACGAUGAUUACUAGGUGUUGGGGGUCGAACCUCAGCGCCCAAGCUAACGCGAUAAGUAAUCCACCUGGGGAGUACGACCGCAAGGUUGAAACUUAAAGGAAUUGACGGGG